rnacentral:lncRNA from 1 species
CACUUUCUGAGCUGCAGUCAACUUUUAAUAACUGUCGUCCCACUUUAUAUUGUUUCUCAAACUGUUGGAGAUAUUGUUUGAAUGGUUUUUGCAUUACAAUCGAAUGUUUUCCCAAUGUUUCACAUAUUUAGUUGUCUUGAGUGUCUCGUUUUUUACAGCUUGUGGAUAUCCUAUACAUGGUGCAUCCUUGGGAUCCAUCACUGUCCUUAAAUUUCUUAAACCACCAUUGUACUGUCCAUUCAUUUACCACAUUCUUACCAUAUGUCUGGCUUAUUUUUCUUCCUGCUGCACUAUUGUUCCCAGUUUAAACUCAUACAGCAUAUAGGCCUGUAUAACACUGUUUGGGG